rnacentral:other from 1 species
CAUGCCCUGCGGUGUUCGCGAUAUCGCCAUUACGUUUUGAGCCAACACCUUUAAAACGGGUCCUUAUCUUAACGGAAAUAACGCGAUAGGCCUGAGCCAAGGCGGCGUUUCCCGGUCAGGACCCACCUGCGAAAGCAGGUUCAAAACCCAGCGAUACACGGCACGUGCGGGGCACGA